CGUCCUACGGGGGGCAGCAGUGAGGAAUAUUGGUCAAUGGGCGAGAGCCUGAACCAGCCAAGUCGCGUGAAGGAUGACGGCCCUACGGGUUGUAAACUUCUUUUGUCAGGGAGCAAUUGGGUCCACGCGUGGGCUUAGCGAGAGUACCUGAAGAAAAAGCAUCGGCUAACUCCGUGCCAGCGGCCGCGGUAAUACGGAGGAUGCGAGCGUUAUCCGGAUUUAUUGGGUGUAAAGGGUGCGUAGGCGGCUUGGCAAGUCAGUAGUGAAAUCCAUGGGCUUAACCCAUGAACUGCUAUUGAAACUGU
rnacentral:rRNA from 1 species